rnacentral:pre_miRNA from 1 species
UUAAAUGGGCCUGAUCCAAAGCCCCCUGAAGUCAAUGGAAAUCUUUCUAUUAGCUUCAAUGAGCUAUGGAUCAGAGCCCAUGUAAU